AAACGGAGAGAAGAGCGUUCUAGAUUCCAUCUUCAAACCGAGUCUUCCCAUAAAAUUGGACAUAGGGAAGGACCUUCACUGCCUGCGUGGUCUUUCCCAGAGCCCUCCUCUCGAAUGCCACAAAACCAGCCCCGCCCUGGCAGAGGCACCCUCAGCCCUUGUGGCUCCUGCUGACCCCCCCCACAGGGAAGCCGUCUGCACAGUGGCUCCAAAGGAGUGUGGCCUAGGGGUCCGCCGUAAGUGGCCUGAGGUAGCAGGAGGGCCCAGCGUCACCUUCUGGUCCUGGUCAGCCUUAACCCUGGCAUCCUCCACAGCACACACGACGGCCCGCGGUCUGGAAAGCGGACCCGGCCUUCGCAGAGGCGCACAGAGCCGCAGGCCCGCGCAGCAUCACCCGGCCUUCCGCUCGUGACUGCGAGGACGUCGGCUCUUGUAGAGCACUUUUUAAAGCUCCCAUUUUGUAACCACUAGUUUGCAGUUGGCUUUAGUACUCUGGUGACUUACUGCAUGAAGUGUUUUCAAACCGUGAGAAUGCGUGCAGCUCCAGGCAGGUCUUCCUGAGAGUUCAGUCUUCUCUUGAAGUCAGGGAGGCAGGAUGGAUACACAUAGAUCACACAGAACAUGCCAGGCUCGAGGCUGAGUCCCUGGAGGUCCACAUGCAGCUUCCCUGGAGGGCAGGCAGGAGGCACUCCCGCCCCAGGGGCUCCCAGGCCCGUUCAGAUGCUGCCUCCGACCUCUCCCUCAGCGGCCAUCAUCCGGCCAAUACUGACCAGCAAUGAUAGACUCUUCUUAACCCUUUCAAAAGAAGAAAUUUUUCAGUGGGACAGAAAGAGUUUAAAAAAAAAUUUUUUUUCUAAGGUGGUAACAUCUGACCCACAAGGGGAUGGGUCUGUUUUACGUGAAAUAAAAGUUUUUCAAAGAAA